GGCUCUCACAUUCCAGCGCGUCGCUGAAAAAAAGGGGGGAUUUAGAGCGACUUAUUUCCUUUAAAUUGUCCUCCGGUCCGCCGAGUUAGCCAGUAUGAUCUCACAGGCCUGAGCCGAGCUGAACUGGAGAACACCAGGGAGUCAGAGAAAUGUUAGUCGCAUCAUCUGGAGGUGAAGACAAAUGAUGGAAGAACAAUGCGGACGCUGAAUGACUUGAUAUUCCCUCAUUUAUUAAGAUUCCGAUCGGAGGAGGAGCAUGCAUGGAUCCAGAAGUUGGAUUUGUCCAGGAACUGAGACAGAGAAAAGUUUUGCUAUAGCUGAAAACACAUACAGGAGUUUGCAAACAAACAAGUGGAAGCAGUGAACACAGUCGACGUGCAAUUCUCCAGCCUCCAGCAAGAGCCAAGGUCAUGACUGGCUGACAGAGGCAAAUUAGCAGAAGUUAACAUUAUGAGAACUGUCUAAAGAAACCUUUGCAUGAAAAUAUUCAUUCAAAUUUCCACUUUAACAUACUCAAACAUUUUCUGUAAUUGCUUGUGAGUGAAGAGCCACAUUAAUUGACUGUGACUGUUCUUAUAAUUAAACUUCAAUGUGUAAAAGCAUUGUUGCCACUAUUGUUAAAGGUUUACUCUUCCUGUGUGCUCUGAGGAGUCUGCAUGGCGUGCUAAAACCUGCCCUGCAGACCGGACCUUCCCAGUCUUCAAAGCAGGGGAACUCAAUGUGAGGGGGAUUUGUUCAGGCUUAUUUGGUAACCUAGGAUUUGAAUUGGAUUCUUGGAGGCAUUCACGACACAUUUGAAAUAUGUUACAUUGUGCGAUUUUGUGUGUAAUCCCCAUAAUAAAUUUUUAGAAAUGGUUUCACAAC